AGAAAAGAGGGGAACUUUAUUUUCCAUUUCCCCAAAUUUCACGAAGAAACCCCUUCUUUCUUUUUCUUCCUCUUCCAAUCGCACGAUUCCCCUUCUCCAUCGCAUGUCGUCAAUUCCCCAUAGUGCUCUCACACAGGUCGUCGAUUCCCCUCCUCCACUAGGCUCCUCCGCUCGGUGAUAACUCAAGAUGGUUAUUGCGGUGAAGGCUUCUCCGUGAAGUUCCACCCACAGUGAAGGCUUCUCUGUCUGAUGCUUCUUUGCAACGUUCUUUUCUUCACAAUCAUCUCACUCAUAUCAAAACUCUCCUUCAUCCGCCAUCAUCGUGCCCUCUCUCAGCCACUGCCCUCUCACUCUCCAAAUCGCCGGCCAUCUCCUACCUUUGUUGUCAAUGGCGGUCUUUUAGAUUUUCAUUCGAUCCUACUGAGGGUUAAAUGUUGCGUUGUGCAUCUAUACAUGGUAUACACCUAUAUCAGAUCCUGAUGCAAGGGGAUACUUUGAUUUCCUAAUUAAGGUAUAUUUUUCUUCACCAUCUUUUAGAAUUUUCAAAUCAAGAGAAAAAAUAAUUAAUUUGAUCAUGGCAUUCGAGAAGGCUAAAGAGAUUGUGGCUUCUAAUCUCGUCACCAUCUUCAGGUUUCUCUUUUGUUCUUUCUCUUAUAAGUACAUUUUUUCCUAAUAAUUUUUCCUGAUUGCAAAAGUGGUUGGUGUUUUUGUGUUCUUUACAACAAGAGUUAUCGUCCAUUCUGCCGUCCAAGUGAAGAGAUUGUUGACUAAACUAGGAGUCAGUUUGAAGGCUAUUGAAUUGGACACUGAGAAAAAGUUCAACACAAAAAUGUUGUUCAAUUCAUUGGUGCUUGUACUAAACCUCCAAACCUCUGUAUUGUAACAAGUUUGGAAGAAUCUAUUGGAGCAGUGAAGCUAACUUGGAGCAAGUGAUUGAUAUAAGAUUUUUUGUAUGAUUGGUAGCAAAAUCUUGAUUCCAAUGUACUGAUUUUAGGCUUGUUGGUAGAUAAAGAUGUCAAUGUUUAUUCUUUUUUAUUGUAAACUACAUUUUAACACAAAAUGAUUAUUAGUCGAUGGGUAUAUGAAUAUUACAAAGUGAUUUUAGGUGUGUAA